GCCAGCUUCCGCUUCCGCCGCCGCCGCCUCCGUGUGUCUUCGCUGAGUCGGUCUGCUGAGCCGCCGCCGCGAUGCCGCUGGAGAACCUGGAGGAGGAGGGUCUGCCCAAGAACCCCGACCUGCGCAUCGCGCAGCUGCGCUUCCUGCUCAGCCUGCCGGGGCACCGCGGGGACGCGGCCGUGCGCGAGGAGCUGAUGGCGGCCGUCCGCGACAACAACAUGGCUCCUUACUACGAAGCGUUGUGCAAAUCCCUCGACUGGCAGGUGGACGUGGACCUGCUCAGUAAGAUGAAGAAGGCAAAUGAAGAAGAGCUGAAGCGUUUGGAUGAGGAGCUGGAAGAUGCAGAGAAGAAUCUCGGGGAGAGCGAAAUCCGCGAUGCAAUGAUGACGAAGGCGGAGUACCUGUGCCGGAUAGGCGACAAGGAGGGUGCUCUGACAGCUUUUCGCAAGACUUAUGACAAAACUGUGGCGCUAGGUCACCGACUGGAUAUUGUGUUCUAUCUCCUUAGGAUUGGCUUGUUUUAUAUGGAUAAUGAUCUUAUCACUCGAAACACAGAAAAGGCCAAAAGUUUAAUAGAGGAAGGAGGAGACUGGGACAGGAGAAACCGCCUGAAAGUAUAUCAAGGUCUUUACUGUGUGGCUAUUCGUGACUUCAAACAGGCAGCUGAACUCUUCCUUGACACUGUCUCCACAUUUACGUCCUAUGAGCUCAUGGAUUAUAAAACCUUCGUGACUUACACUGUCUAUGUCAGCAUGAUUGCCUUAGAAAGACCAGACCUCAGGGAAAAGGUUAUUAAAGGAGCAGAGAUUCUUGAAGUGCUGCACAGCCUUCCAGCAGUUCGGCAGUAUCUGUUUUCACUCUACGAAUGCCGCUACUCCGUUUUCUUCCAGUCGCUAGCUGUUGUGGAACAGGAAAUGAAAAAGGACUGGCUUUUUGCUCCUCACUAUCGGUACUAUGUGAGAGAAAUGAGAAUUCAUGCCUACAGCCAGCUGCUGGAAUCAUACAGGUCAUUAACCCUCGGCUACAUGGCAGAAGCCUUUGGUGUUGGCGUGGAAUUCAUUGAUCAGGGCUCUCAACACCAUUUGUUGAUUAAACCAACAUUUCCCCAUUGAUUUGCAAUGACACUUAUGCUAGAAAUUUGAUUCUGUUGGAGUUUAUGUGCUUGGAUCAAGUUGUUUUACUAUCUGGGAGAAUAAUCUGGGAACUCUCCAGAUUUAUCGCUGCUGGGAGACUACACUGCAAAAUAGAUAAAGUGAAUGAAAUAGUGGAAACCAACAGACCUGAUAGCAAGAACUGGCAGUACCAAGAAACUAUCAAGAAAGGAGAUCUGCUACUAAACAGAGUUCAGAAACUUUCCAGAGUAAUUAAUAUGUAAAACCAUGUGAACAAAGGAUUUCUUUUGGAGAUAA